rnacentral:rRNA from 1 species
GACGAACGCUGGCGGCGUGCCUAAUACAUGCAAGUUGAGCGCUGAAGGUUGGUACUUGUACCAACUGGAUGAGCAGCGAACGGGUGAGUAACGCGUGGGGAAUCUGCCUUUGAGCGGGGGACAACAUUUGGAAACGAAUGCUAAUACCGCAUAAAAACUUUAAACACAAGUUUUAAGUUUGAAAGAUGCAAUUGCAUCACUCAAAGAUGAUCCCGCGUUGUAUUAGCUAGUUGGUGAGGUAAAGGCUCACCAAGGCGAUGAUACAUAGCCGACCUGAGAGGGUGAUCGGCCACAUUGGGACUGAGACACGGCCCAAACUCCUACGGGAGGCAGCAGUAGGGAAUCUUCGGCAAUGGACGAAAGUCUCACCGAGCAACGCCGCGUGAGUGAAGAAGGUUUUCGGAUCGUAAAACUCUGUUGGUAGAGAAGAACGUUGGUGAGAGUGGAAAGCUCAUCAAGUGACGGUAACUACCCAGAAAGGGACGGCUAACUACGUG